rnacentral:rRNA from 1 species
CCUACGGGAGGCUGCAGUGAGGAAUAUUGGUCAAUGGACGAGAGUCUGAACCAGCCAAGUAGCGUGAAGGAUGACUGCCCUAUGGGUUGUAAACUUCUUUUAUAUGGGAAUAAAACGUUCCACGUGUGGGAUUUUGUAUGUACCAUAUGAAUAAGGAUCGGCUAACUCCGUGCCAGCAGCCGCGGUAAUACGGAGGAUCCGAGCGUUAUCCGGAUUUAUUGGGUUUAAAGGGAGCGUAGGUGGAUUGUUAAGUCAGUUGUGAAAGUUUGCGGCUCAACCGUAAAAUUGCAGUUGAAACUGGCAGUCUUGAGUAUAGUAGAGGUGGGCGGAAUUCGUGGUGUAGCGGUGAAAUGCUUAGAUAUCACGAAGAACUCCGAUUGCGAAGGCAGUUCACUGGACUGCAACUGACACUGAGGCUCGAAAGUGUGGGUAUCAAACAGGAUUAGAUACCCUAGUAGUC